CGUGCGUCCGUUAUAGCUCAGUCGCAGAGCGUGGUGUUGAUAACGCCAAGGUCGUGAGUUCGACCCUCACAUGCACGG
rnacentral:tRNA from 1 species